CUGGCCAGGUCCAGGUUGGAUUCGAAUACAGAGCUUCAGAUUCCAAAUACGGUGUCAUCCCACCCUCCCACCGCUGGUCCAUUGAUUCCUGAGAGAGUUCUGGCUCCUCUUCAUUUUACACUCAUAUUAGGGAUCUGGCGUUGUCCCUGCAGCCACUUGGGUCCCUGCUAUGGUGGAGGUUCUGUCCCUGGCCUCGGAACUUCUGCAUGCCGUGGGCAAGGCCACACACACACACACAAAAGGGAGCCCGAAGACCACCCCAAAGAAAAAUCGGACUGAUUCAAUCAAUCGGUCCUAGCUGGCAUCGGCACAGGAAUAGCAUCAGGUCUGAUUGGGAGCAUCUCAGCCUUUUCAGAUGAUGAUUCAUCAUAAGGACACAUCAGUGACCCUGACUGGAGUCCAGUUCCAAGGAGGAAACCCGAAGCAUCCGCGACAGGCCAGGCCCCAAGAGGAUGCUGCCCAGAGAGAAACAGGACCUGCCCAGAGGCUCUCCCAGGCUGAGGAGGAAGCUGCCAAGAACAGUUUUACCUCUGACUGUGAAAAACCUCACAGACCAACUGCUAUGGGGAUUUGUAGCUUGCUGUGGGGCCCAGAGGAAGGGGACUCAUUCUGGCUGGAGUGGCAUAGGAAAGCUUCCUGGAGGAGGUGGCAUUUGACAGGGGUCUGGUAAGCAGAGAAGGAGAGGUAGCGUGAAGAGGAUCCACAUCUCAUAGUUGUGUGAACGGGGUCUGGAGCUUGAGUUUUCUAAGCUCUAUGUGGGGAAGGGUGGCAGUGAUGGUUGUAAAGAUGAAAUCAGCUGCAUAUGGAAGAAUCUGGCACAAAAUGCAUUUAACCUUGAAUGGCAGCGAAUGCAGAAGCAUGUACGUGAGCUGAGUUAUGAGUGGUGUCUUUGGAAACGAGGGCGGCAUAUGUUGACAGUGAUUAUUUCUGGGCACUAGGAGUUUCACAGGUAAUGUUUACUUUUCUCUUUAUCCUGUUCUGUGUUGGUUGGAAUGUUUACAAAGAACACAUGCUAUUUGCAAAAUGGUUAAAAAGUUCUUUGUGAAAAGAAAAAAACUAUUUGUGUUCUAAUACUUAAAAAAUAAUUUGAACCUGCAGAAAAGUAGCGAAAAUGUAACUCCUAUCAACUUUCACCCAGAUUCGCUUAUUAACAUUUUGCCACACUUGUACUCUC